GAUGAAGAACGCAGUGAAAUGCGAUACGUAAUGUGAAUUGCAGAAUUCAGUGAAUCAUCGAGUCUUUGAACGCACAUUGCGCCCCCUGGUAUUCCGGGGGGCAUGCCUGUCCGAGCGUCAUUGCUGCCCUCAAGCACGGCUUGUGUGUUGGGCCUCCGUCCUCCUCCCGGGGGACGGGCCCGAAAGGCAGCGGCGGCACCGCGUCCGGUCCUCGAGCGUAUGGGGCUUCGUCACCCGCUCUUGUAGGCCCGGCCGGCGCUUGCCGACACAUCAAUCUUCUUUCCAGGUUGACCUCGGAUCAGGUAGGGAUACCCGCUGAACUUAAGCAUAUCAAUAAGCGGAGGA
rnacentral:misc_RNA from 1 species